rnacentral:rRNA from 1 species
AUUGAACGCUGGCGGCAGGCUUAACACAUGCAAGUCGAGCGGGGGAAGGUAGCUUGCUACCGGACCUAGCGGCGGACGGGUGAGUAAUGCUUAGGAAUCUGCCUAUUAGUGGGGGACAACAUCUCGAAAGGGAUGCUAAUACCGCAUACGUCCUACGGGAGAAAGCAGGGGAUCUUCGGACCUUGCGCUAAUAGAUGAGCCUAAGUCGGAUUAGCUAGUUGGUGGGGUAAAGGCCUACCAAGGCGACGAUCUGUAGCGGGUCUGAGAGGAUGAUCCGCCACACUGGGACUGAGACACGGCCCAGACUCCUACGGGAGGCAGCAGUGGGGAAUAUUGGACAAUGGGGGGAACCCUGAUCCAGCCAUGCCGCGUGUGUGAAGAAGGCCUUAUGGUUGUAAAGCACUUUAAGCGAGGAGGAGGCUACUUUAGUUAAUACCUAGAGAUAGUGGACGUUACUCGCAGAAUAAGCACCGGCUAACUCUGUGCCAGCAGCCGCGGUAAUACAGAGGGUGCGAGCGUUAAUCGGAUUUACUGGGCGUAAAGCGUGCGUAGGCGGCUUAUUAAGUCGGAUGUGAAAUCCCCGAGCUUAACUUGGGAAUUGCAUUCGAUACUGGUGAGCUAGAGUAUGGGAGAGGAUGGUAGAAUUCCAGGUGUA